AUAUAACGAUUGUAUCUGCAAAUUUAUUUUCCAAAUAAAAAGUCGAAAAAGUUUCGGUUAUAUC
rnacentral:tRNA from 1 species